rnacentral:misc_RNA from 1 species
GAUGAAGAACGUAGCGAAAUGCGAUAAGUAAUGUGAAUUGCAGAAUUCAGUGAAUCAUCGAAUCUUUGAACGCACCUUGCGCCCUUUGGCUAUUCCGAAGGGCAUGCCUGUUUGAGUAUCGUGAACACCUCAACUCUCAUGGUUUGCCAUGAUGAGCUUGGACUUUGGGGGUUUUGCUGGCCUUUGGUCGGCUCCUCUCAAACGGAUCAGCUUUCCAGUGUUUGGUGGCGUCACGGGUGUGAUAACUAUCUACGCCUGUGGUUUUCUGUCAGAUAACCUUCAGCGAUGGAGGUUCGCUGGGGCUCAUAAAUGUCUCUCUUCAGUGGAGACAGCUUUUUGGACGUUUGAUCUCAAAUCAGGUAGGACUACCCGCUGAACUUAAGCAUAUCAAUAAGCGGAGGA